rfam:Trichoderma harzianum strain T6776 Scaffolds0446.1, whole genome shotgun sequence.
GGCACUUUGGCCGAGCGGUCUAAGGCGCCGUGUUCAGGAUUUCAUCUUGCUUCGCGGUCUAGUAAUAGGCGAGGGUUCGAAUCCCUCAGGUGUCA